AACGAACGCUGGCGGCAGGCCUAACACAUGCAAGUCGAGCGCCCCGCAAGGGGAGCGGCGGACGGGUGAGUAACGCGUGGGAACGUGCCCUUUGCUACGGAAUAGCCCCGGGAAACUGGGAGUAAUACCGUAUAAGCCCUACGGGGGAAAGAUUUAUCGGCAAAGGAUCGGCCCGCGUUGGAUUAGGUAGUUGGUGGGGUAAUGGCCUACCAAGCCGACGAUCCAUAGCUGGUUUGAGAGGACGAUCAGCCACACUGGGACUGAGACACGGCCCAGACUCCUACGGGAGGCAGCAGUGGGGAAUCUUAGACAAUGGGCGCAAGCUUGAUCUAGCCAUGCCGCGUGAGCGAUGAAGGCCUUAGGGUUGUAAAGCUCUUUCGUGGGGGAAGAUAAUGACUGUACCCCAAGAAGAAGCCCCGGCUAACUCCGUGCCAGCCGCCGCCGUAAAAC
rnacentral:rRNA from 1 species